rnacentral:rRNA from 1 species
AAGCGGUGGAUGAUGUGGAUAAUUCGAUGCAACGCGAAAACCUUACCUACCCUUGACAUGUCCGGAAUCCGAAGAGAUUUGGGAGUGCUCGCAAGAGAGCCGUAACACAGGUGCUGCAUGGCUGUCGUCAGCUCGUGUCGUGAGAUGUUGGGUUAAGUCCCGCAACGAGCGCAACCCUUGUCAUUAGUUGCUACAUUCAGUUGGGCACUCUAAUGAGACUGCCGGUGACAAGCCGGAGGAAGGUGGGGAUGACGUCAAGUCCUCAUGGCCCUUAUAGGUGGGGCUACACACGUCAUACAAUGGCUGGUACAAAGGGUUGCCAACCCGCGAGGGGGAGCCAAUCCCAUAAAGCCAGUCGUAGUCCGGAUCGUAGUCUGCAACUCGACUACGUGAAGUCGGAAUCGCUAGUAAUCGUGGAUCAGAAUGUCACGGUGAAUACGUUCCCGGGUCUU